GAUGAAGAACGUAGCGAAAUGCGAUAAGUAAUGUGAAUUGCAGAAUUCAGUGAAUCAUCGAAUCUUUGAACGCACAUUGCGCCCGCCAGUAUUCUGGCGGGCAUGCCUGUCUGAGCGUCAUUUCAACCCUCAUGCCCCUAGGGCGUGGUGUUGGGGAUCGGCCAAAGCCCGCGAGGGACGGCCGGCCCCUAAAUCUAGUGGCGGACCCGUCGUGGCCUCCUCUGCGAAGUAGUGAUAUUCCGCAUCGGAGAGCGACGAGCCCCUGCCGUUAAACCCCCAACUUUCCAAGGUUGACCUCAGAUCAGGUAGGAAUACCCGCUGAACUUAAGCAUAUCAAUAAGCAGAGGA
rnacentral:misc_RNA from 1 species